rnacentral:rRNA from 1 species
UACGUAGGGUGCAAGCGUUGUCCGGAAUUAUUGGGCGUAAAGAGCUCGUAGGCGGUUUGUCGCGUCGAAUGUGAAAACCCGGGGCUCAACCCCGGGCCUGCAUUCGAUACGGGCAGACUAGAGUUCGGUAGGGGAGUCUGGAAUUCCUGGUGUAGCGGUGAAAUGCGCAGAUAUCAGGAGGAACACCGGUGGCGAAGGCGGGACUCUGGGCCGAUACUGACGCUGAGGCGCGAAAGCGUGGGGAGCGAACCGG